rnacentral:rRNA from 1 species
GUGGGGAAUCUUCCGCAAUGGACGAAAGUCUGACGGAGCAAUGCCGCGUGAGUGAAGAAGGUUUUCGGAUCGUAAAGCUCUUUCGUUAGGGACGAACGUGCUCUUUGUGAAUAAUGAGGAGUAAUGACGGUACCUAAAUAAGAAGCCACGGCUAACUACGUGCCAGCAGCCGCGGUAAUACGUAGGUGGCAAGCGUUGUCCGGAAUUAUUGGACGUAAAGUGCGCGCAGGCGGGAUAUCAAGUCUGUCUUAAAAGUGCGAGGCUCAACCUCGUGAGGGGACAGAAACUGGUAUUCUUGAGUGUCGGAGAGGAAAGUGGAAUUCCAAGUGUAGCGGUGAAAUGCGUAGAGAUUUGGAAGAACACCAGUGGCGAAGGCGACUUUCUGGACGAUGUCUGACGCUGAGGCGCGAAAGCUAGGGGAGCGAACGGGAUUAGAUACCCCGGUAGUCC